rnacentral:lncRNA from 1 species
CCAGGAGACAUGGGGAGCAUAAAUAUGCACACAUAUUUAUCUUUAAAUUCUUCAUGAAAACCCUGUAAAUGGAGGUGGUCCAAAUGAAUUAAAAUGUCAAAAGGUGAAACAUAAUUAAAAAGAAAAGGUGAAGUAGAAUAAAUCAGGAAAUAAAAGAUAGAGAGGGUCAGUUAUGUACAACCUUGAUGAUAGAAGGAUCAACUCUCUCGUCCUCAUCUAAAAUAAUGUUCUCCAAAAUAACCUCAUCUCCGGGGGUUACUUUGAGAGUGAUUGGCAUUAAUCCCAUGAGGAUGUUUUUAAAACUACAAUCUGGCGUUAUAAAUUU